UGGGGAAUAUUGCACAAUGGGCGCAAGCCUGAUGCAGCCAUGCCGCGUGUAUGAAGAAGCCCUUCGGGUUGUAAAGUACUUUCAGCGAGGAGGAAGGCGUUGUGGUUAAUAACCGCAACGAUUGACGUUACUCGCAGAAGAAGCACCGGCUAACUCCGUGCCAGCAGCCGCGGUAAUACGGAGGGUGCAAGCGUUAAUCGGAAUUACUGGGCGUAAAGCGCACGCAGGCGGUCUGUCAAGUCGGAUGUGAAAUCCCCGGGCUCAACCUGGGAACUGCAUCCGAAACUGGCAGGCUAGAGUCUUGUAGAGGGGGGUAGAAUUCCAGGUGUAGCGGUGAAAUGCGUAGAGAUCUGGAGGAAUACCGGUGGCGAAGGCGGCCCCCUGGACAAAGACUGACGCUCAGGUGCGAAAGCGUGGGGAGCAAACA
rnacentral:rRNA from 1 species